CUGACGUAUAAAUUGUUUAAGAGCCGCGGUAUCCUGACCGUGCAAAGGUAGCAUAAUCAUUAGUUUUUUAAUUGAAAGCUUGUAUGAAUGGUCGGACAAAGGAAAAGCUGUCUUUAUUAUAUAAAUUGAAAUUAACUUUUAAGUGAAAAGGCUUAAAUGUUUCAAGGGGACGAUAAGACCCUAUAAAGCUUUAUAUAUUAAGUAAAUUUGGUUAAAUUUUAGUAUAAAAAUUUAAUUUAGUUGUUAUAUUUUAUUGGGGUGAUGUAGGUAUAAUUAAUUUUAACUGCUUAGAAGUAUUACAUUAAUAAGUGAAUUAAAAUUAAAAGAUCCUUUUUAGAGAUUUCAAGACUAAGUUACUUUAGGGAUAACAGCGUAAUUUUUUUUGAGAGUUCAUAUCGAAAAAAAAGUUUGCGACCUCGAUGUUGAAUUAGAAUAUCUAUAUAGUGCAGCCGUUAUAUAAGAAGGUCUGUUCGACCUUUAAAUUUUUACAUGA
rnacentral:rRNA from 1 species